rnacentral:snoRNA from 1 species
UUUGAUGAUGAUCAUAAAUAUAUAUCACGACGGUCUACAUAGCUAUAUGCCUUGAUGAUAAUUGCCUGUGACAAGGCACGAUUCCUGAUA